rnacentral:rRNA from 1 species
GACGAACGCUGGCGGCGUGCUUAACACAUGCAAGUCGAACGCUGAAGACCUGGCUUUUGUUGGGUUGGAUGAGUGGCGAACGGGUGAGUAACACGUGAGUAACCUGCCCUCUUCUUUGGGAUAACGCCCGGAAACGGGUGCUAAUACUGGAUAUUCACUGGCCUUCGCAUGGGGGUUGGUGGAAAGGUUUGUUCUGGUGGGGGAUGGGCUCGCGGCCUAUCAGCUUGUUGGUGGGGUGAUGGCCUACCAAGGCUUUGACGGGUAGCCGGCCUGAGAGGGUGACCGGUCACAUUGGGACUGAGAUACGGCCCAGACUCCUACGGGAGGCAGCAGUGGGGAAUAUAGCACAAUGGGCGAAAGCCUGAUGCAGCGACGCCGCGUGAGGGAUGGAGGCCUUCGGGCUGUAAACCUCUUUCGCUCAUGGUCAAGCCGCAACUGUGGGUUGUGGUGAGGGUAGUGGGUAAAGAAGCGCCGGCUAACUACGUG